rnacentral:rRNA from 1 species
CCUACGGGUGACAGCAGUGAGGAAUAUUGGUCAAUGGACGAGAGUCUGAACCAGCCAAGUAGCGUGAAGGAUGACUGCCCUAUGGGUUGUAAACUUCUUUUAUAAAGGAAUAAAACGAGGCACGUGUGCCUUUUUGCAUGUACUUUAUGAAUAAGGAUCGGCUAACUCCGUGCCAGCAGCCGCGGUAAUACGGAGGAUCCGAGCGUUAUCCGGAUUUAUUGGGUUUAAAGGGAGCGUAGAUGGGUUGUUAAGUCAGUUGUGAAAGUUUGCGGCUCAACCGUAAAAUUGCAAUUGAUACUGGCAGUCGUGAGUACAGUUGAGGUAGGCAGAAUUCGUGGUGUAGCGGUGAAAUGCUUAGAUAUCACGAAGAACCCCGAUUGCGAAGGCAGCUUACUAAACUGUGACUGACAUUGAUGCUCGAAAGUGUGGGUAUCAAACAGGAUUAGAUACCCUUGUAGUC